CAGCACCUCAAGUGGUCAGGAUGAUUAUUGGGCCUAAAGCAUCCGUAGCCGGCUCUGUAAGUUUUCGGUUAAAUCUGUACGCUCAACGUACAGGCUGCCGGGAAUACUGCAGAGCUAGGGAGUGGGAGAGGUAGACGGUACUCGGUAGGAAGGGGUAAAAUCCUUUGAUCUAUUGAUGACCACCUGUGGCGAAGGCGGUCUACCAGAACACGUCCGACGGUGAGGGAUGAAAGCUGGGGGAGCAAACCGGAUUAGAUACCCGAGUAGUCCC
rnacentral:rRNA from 1 species